GACGAACGCUGGCGGCGUGCUUAACACAUGCAAGUCGAACGGAAAGGCCCUGCUUUUGUGGGGUGCUCGAGUGGCGAACGGGUGAGUAACACGUGAGUAACCUGCCCUUGACUUUGGGAUAACUUCAGGAAACUGGGGCUAAUACCGGAUAGGAGCUCCUGCUGCAUGGUGGGGGUUGGAAAGUUUCGGCGGUUGGGGAUGGACUCGCGGCUUAUCAGCUUGUUGGUGGGGUAGGUGCUUACCAAGGGUUUGACGGGUAGCCGGCCUGAGAGGGUGAACGGGCACCAUGGGACUGAGGUACGGCCCAGGAUUCUAACGGAGGCAACCGGGGGGAAUAUUGCAGAAUGGGGGGAAGGCAGGUGGAACAACCGCCGGUGCGGGAAGACGGGCUUUGGGUUGGAAACCGCUUUCGCCUUUAACGGAGCCAUAGUGACGGUAAUGGGUAAAGAAGCACCGGCUAACUACGUG
rnacentral:rRNA from 1 species